rnacentral:rRNA from 1 species
AGUGAACGCUGGCGGUAGGCCUAACACAUGCAAGUCGAACGGCAGCACAGGAGAGCUUGCUCUCUGGGUGGCGAGUGGCGGACGGGUGAGGAAUACAUCGGAAUCUACUCUGUCGUGGGGGAUAACGUAGGGAAACUUACGCUAAUACCGCAUACGACCUACGGGUGAAAGCAGGGGACCUUCGGGCCUUGCGCGAUUGAAUGAGCCGAUGUCGGAUUAGCUAGUUGGCGGGGUAAAGGCCCACCAGGGCGACGAUCCGUAGCUGGUCUGAGAGGAUGAUCAGCCACACUGGAACGGAGACACGGUCCAGACUCCUACGGGAGGCAGCAGUGGGGAAUAUUGGACAAUGGGCGCAAGCCUGAUCCAGCCAUACCGCGUGGGUGAAGAAGGCCUUCGGGUUGUAAAGCCCUUUGUUGGGAAAGAAAUCCAGCUGGCUAAUACCCGGUUGGGAUGACGGUACCCAAAGAAUAAGCACCGGCUAACUUCGUGCCAGCCGCCGCCGUAA